UACGUAGGUGACCAGCGUUGUCCGGAUUUACUGGGCGUAAAGAGCGCGCAGGCGGUCGUUCAAGUCGAGUGUGAAAGCCCCCGGCUCAACUGGGGAGGGUCACUCGAUACUGAUCGACUGGAAGGCAGGAGAGGGAAGCGGAAUUCCCGGUGUAGUGGUGAAAUGCGUAGAUAUCGGGAGGAACACCAGUGGCGAAGGCGGCUUCCUGGCCUGUUCUUGACGGCUGAGGCGCGAAAGCUAGGGGAGCAAACGGGG
rnacentral:rRNA from 1 species